rnacentral:rRNA from 1 species
UACGUAGGGUGCGAGCGUUAAUCGGAAUUACUGGGCGUAAAGGGUGCGCAGGCGGUUAUAUAAGACAGAUGUGAAAUCCCCGGGCUCCAACCUGGGAACUGCAUUUGUGACUGCAUGGCUAGAGUACGGCAGAGGGGGGAUGGAAUUCCGCGUGUAGCAGUGAAAUGCGUAGAUAUGCGGAGGAACACCGAUGGCGAAGGCAAUCCUCUGGGCCUGUACUGACGCUCAUGCACGAAAGCGUGGG